rnacentral:rRNA from 1 species
GAUUUCCUAGUACGGCGAGCGAACGGGAAGAAGCCCAGCUUGAAAAUCGGGGGGACUUCGGCCUCUUCGAAUUGUAGUCUGGAGAAGGGUCCUCUGCAGCGGACCAGGCUAAGGUUCCCUGGAAUGGGAUGCCAGAGAGGGUGAGAGCCCCGUCUAGCCCGGACCCUGUUGCUCCACGAGGCUCUGUCUAAGAGUCGGGUUGCUUGGGAAUGCAGCCUUAAGCCGGUGGUAAGUUCCAUCGAAGGCUAAAUACUCACGAGAGACCGAUAGCGCACAAGUACCGCGAGGGAAAGAUGAAAAGGACUUUGAAAAGAGAGUCAAAAAGUGCUUGAAAUUGUUGGGAGGAAAGCGAAUGGAUGCCUUAGUUGCCUGCUGGCUGUGUGUGGAACGGUCCUUUAAGG